GUAGGUUGCUGUCUAGGAAGAUAACGGGGAACUUCGUUAGGAUAGCUCUUGGAGGGCCUUGAAAGCGUAAGUUACAAUGCAAGGAAGUUUAGGCAAGCGAGGGUGUCCUUUAGAGCUAUGAAAUAAGAAGAAGAGAGUAGAAGACUGUGAAAGCGUAAAGCCUUCUUAAGAUGGUUCGAGCCUUGGAAAUCAAAGUGGAUGAGAUUAAUAUGCUGCUAAGAAAAAGAAAAAGAAAAAGGAGGAAGAAAGCAAAGCCAAUAGAAAUGAGGUCACCGCUGGUUGUUGCGAUGGUGACUGCGGUGGUAGCUGCGGAGGUGGUGGCUGCGGAGGUGGAUGUGGCGGUUGAAUCCAGAACUUGCACUACCCUACUGUCAUUUAAUAAUAUAUUAAUACACUCGUCUUCCUCUUCAAUAAGAUUGUAAUUUGCUCAUCAUCCAUAUUCAAUAACAGGAUGCAAGCUGAAUAUGAGCAAUUCUUUAUGUUCGAUCCUUAUCGAGUAGCUCUUUUUUAAGUGAAAAACAAAACUAUAUAUAUAUAUAUGGUAGUGUGUCACUUUCACUUUUUGUUCAGAAA